UUUUUGCGUUAGGGAUUGUAGUGGCUAGCUUUUGGCGAGGCGUGCAUCGAGCCAAAACUAAUAACGAAAAGCCCGACCCUUG
rfam:Arenitalea lutea strain CGMCC 1.12213 genome assembly, contig: Ga0079849_101